rnacentral:lncRNA from 1 species
UAUUUUAAGCUAGUUAAUAUAAGCAUAGUGUAAUAUAAACGUUAAUGUUCCCUGUAAUAAUCCAUGUAAAGUAGAAAAGCAAGAACACAUCUUUCAUUUUAAUUUACUCAGUGUUUUCUCUAGGAAUUUCAUGGUGCCUUUAAACUACCAAAUAAUCAUUCAUUCUUCAAAGUCCAGCAGUGGCACCCUAUUCCUUUUUUCAAACCAGGAAAUGACCAUAACCGUGGGGAAAUGAUGUAACUGCUAAGAAUUGAAUGUGAUGGCCCAGCUUGAGUGAUCUUCUGCUCAGACCACACCCUGGACUGAACCAGCCUCCUGUUUCCCUCAGGCCUCCUGAGGUCCCUGAUCUCCGGCAAGUGAUGCUCCUUCUCACCAUCGUCUGUGCCAUUGCCUUGAAAACUCCCUUCCUGGCCUCGCCUACUACAUGAGCCAGGGAC